CAGAAGGGGCACAAAGCCACAAAAAUAAUUGCAUCUGCCGUGCUCUGCUCGGAGGGCUGAGCAGCUUGGGGCCUGCCACUGCCUUGCCGCGAGCCCUCAGCCACCCUGCAAAGCUGUUUUGGCUUUUCCAGUGAUUUAGCACAUUAGGAGGGUUAUGGUUAGGCUGUGUUUAUUUUGCUAAACCUCACAAACCCAUAAUAGAGCUGGGGAGGGGGAAGGAGGCGGCGGGAGAUGCAGUGAACAUUUAAAAAAAAAAAAAAAGAAAGAAAGAAAGAAAGAAAAAGGGAAAAAAAAUGAAAGCGCCAGCUGAGGAGGGAAAAUGAGGUUGGGAUUGCAUCUGCAGAGCAGCUGCGGGCAGGGAUGUCCUGAAAUAAAGGUGGGAAAAAAUUGCGGAGGCGAAUGAGAGGGGAUAAGGAGCAUUUUGGGGGAUUUCUGCGAGGGAGGAAGCAGUGGGGCAAUGCUCUGGCCAGGGAAGGGGAUUUCUUCUCCGUGCUCUCACAUUCCUCCCGUCAGCAGUAUUUACAUGACAGCACCAGGAGAAAUCCCAGGUCGGGCGGACUGCAGCAAGGCGAAGGCGCGCAGCCACUGCUCGCUGGGCCACAGCCUAUUUUGUUUGAUGUCUGCAGUGCACGGGGAUGUUUGCAGCCUGUUUGCACUGCGCAGAGAUGUUUGCAACGUGCAGCGAUGUUUACAGCCUGUGAGGUUGUUUGCACCAUGCAGGGAUGCUUGCAACACGUGGAGAUGCUUGCAGUGCUUGAGGAUAUUUGCAGCGUGCCGGGGACAUUCGUGCAUGCGGAGAUGUUGGUGGUGCAUGGGGAUAUUUGCGGCUCACUCGGAUGCUUGCAACCUGUGGGGAUGCUUGCAGUGUGCGGAGGUGUUUGCAGUGCACAGGGAUGUUUGCAUCAUCCAGGGGUGCUUGAGGCAUGCAGACACAUUCACAGCACUUUGCAGAACCCAGAGACACCGGCAGCAGCUUUUCAGCCUUGCCCCCACACUGUGCCUCAGCUUUCCCCUUCCUGAGACCAAGCAGAGCACCGGGGCCAUAGGAACCAGUGCCAGCUGCACCAUUGCUUUCCAGCCAUUUAUCCCCCCACUCAAUCCUCCUGCUAGCACCCCAAAAAUGCCUUUUUGCAAGGAAGGUGGGUCCAAAGCCCAGCCAGCAGGUGAGGGCUGCCAGCAGCAGGGAGAUGUGUGAUGAAAUUUGUUUUGUGAAGUGGCAAAAGGGGCACAGGGCCUGUUCUCUCUGGCCACAUCCCUGGCGGGUGGUGGGGCUCGGCCUCCCUUUCUCGCCUUUGCAGUGCUUGGAGGGGCUGCUGCUCACCAGAUGUGAUAAGAGAAGGUUUGGCUGAGGCUUGAAAAGGAAAAAAAAAAAAAAAAAGGAAAAGCAGAGCAAAUUCCUUGGCAAAUCAAAGUGCAGUGCGUGCGGAGCGAGCACAGAGCCUCGCGUGGAGGCAUCCGUCUUGAUAAGGGGCGACGCGGCUGCAGGGAGGAGGAGGAGGAGGAGGAGGCAGUGAAACCACUCCUUGGAGCCAGCAGUUGCAGCUUGGUUUUGCAAGAAAAAUGCCCAUCCUAGUGCAACCCAGGGUGUGCCUCAGUUUCUCCACCCUGUACAUGCAUUGCGGGGGGGGGGGGGGGGGGAAGGGGUUAAAGCUGAGAGGGUAAAACACCUUGGAGGGGUUAAAUGGGGCGAUUUUCUGCCGGGUUUUAUCCAAAACAUAUGUUUUCGCCACUAUUCGAGUUAUCUGGGAUAUUUCCUGCGUGUUUGCUCCUAUGGCAACCGGCCCAGCAUGAAAGACCUAUUUACUGGGCCCUGGGAUAAGGCACGGCCAUAUGUUGUCAAUUUGGAAGGCGCUCCUUCCCCUCCGCCUGUCUCCAGCCCCUCCUGCGGCACAGCCCCUCGCAGGGCGCCCGGAGCCGGGGAUGGGCGCCGUGGGCAAGGUGAGAUGGUGGCUGGGGCUGGGGGGCAGCCGGGGAACUUGGGGGACGUGGAGAUGGGCUGCAACAUUGGGCUGAAGUCCUUCAGGAGCUAGGGGUGGAGACGAGCAACCUGCAACACGGGUUUGAGGUCCUUCAGGAGAUGGGGAUGGAGAGGAGAUACCUUCAGCAUCAGUCCGAGGUCCUUCAAGGAGCUAGGGAUGGAGAAAAGCAACCUGCAACAUGGGUUUGAGGUCCCUCAGGGGAUGGGGAUGGAGAGGCAAUACCUUCAACAUCAGUCUGAGGUCUGUUAAGGAGAUUGGGGUGGAGACAAGCAACCCACAUGGUUGGCUUGAGGUCUAUCUGAGAGACCAGGCUGAAGACAGAGCUGAGGCCAAGGUAUCUGCAACACAGUUCUGGGGUCCAACCAGGACAUGGGGUUAGAGGCAGGGCUGGAGAUGAGCUACGUGCAAUGUCAGUGCGAGGGCCAUACAGGGGUGGGGCUGAAACCAGGAGCAGGAAGAAGCCACCCGUGUAGGUCUGAGGUCCACCCAGGAACAAAGGCUUGGAGCAGGAGUGGAGACAAGCUCCCCACGUCGCUCUGAAGCUCAUCCAGACGAUGGAGCUGGAGACGUGACCAGGAAGAAGCUAGCUGCAGCGCCGGCCUGAGGUGGCGACCAAACCCGGUGUGUCGGGAAGGGGCUGUGGUCGGCAGGGGCCCGCAUGGGACCGGGGGGCUCCCCAUCACCUGGGGGGGGGGGGGCAGCAUGAGAGCUUCAGCUGAAGAGGACUUGAAAGGGCAGCGCGUCUCGGAUCGGAAGCCUCAUGCCAGCAGGAAAACGCUCCGUGUGUCAAGUGCUUGAAACCAGAGGGAGGUGGGAGCAAUAAAUCUCAUGACCCCACAGACACUGCCUGUCCGCAAAACAGUCUGGCCCCAAAGCCAGGGGGCAACAGGACCUGGCUGGCACACACUUUCCCCUUCCCAGCAGGGUCCCCAAACCCUCCCUGGUAGAGCCUGAUGGGGACUGGGACAAGGUACCUAGUGGGGACUGGGAUGGAGCGAUAGGGACUGGGACAAGGUGCCUGAUGGAAAGUGGCAUGGGGUGAUGGGGACUGGGGUGAGGUACCUAUUAGGGACUCAGAUGAGUUGAUGGGGACGAGGACAAGGUGGUGGGGACUAGCAUGAAGUGCCUAAUGGGGACUGGGAUGGGGCAUAGGGGACUGGGAAUAGGUACCCAUUAGGAAUUGGGUUGAGUUGAUGGGAACCAGGAUGGAACCAAGAUCACCUUGUCCAACCUCUGACCUAACACUAACAAGUCCCCGAUUAAACCAUAUCACUAAGCUCUACAUCUAAACGUCUUUUACAGGCCUCCAGGGAUGGUGCCUGAGCCGCCUCCCCGGGUGGCCCAUCCCAACGCCUAACAGCCCUUUCGGUAAAGAAGUUCUUCCCAAUAUCCAACCUAAACCUCCCCUGGCGCAACUUCAGCCCAUUCCCCCUCGUCCUGUCACCAGGCACGUGGG